rnacentral:rRNA from 1 species
UACGGAGGGAGCUAGCGUUGUUCGGAAUUGCUGGGCGUAAAGCGCGCGUAGGCGGCUUUGUAAGUUAGAGGUGAAAGCCCGGGGCUCAACCCCGGAACUGCCUUUAAGACUGCAUCGCUUGAAUCCGGGAGAGGUGAGUGGAAUUCCGAGUGUAGAGGUGAAAUUCGUAGAUAUUCGGAAGAACACCAGUGGCGAAGGCGGCUCACUGGACCGGUAUUGACGCUGAGGUGCGAAAGCGUGGGGAGCAAACAGG